rnacentral:lncRNA from 1 species
GCUCCUUUGAUGGCAGUCACCAGGAGCCACGGCAACAGGAAGCCACCUUCACAAUGCUUCUUUUCAGGUGGCAGACCUCACCAAAAUGAACCAAACCUGAAGAGGAGGAAAAUGGCUGACACCAACAGCAGCUAUGAGGAUGUAUUUGUGAGGACUUCUGAAAGAGCCGCCAGGAAAUCCCAGAAAUGCAAGGGGACCAGGAGACAGUGGCAGCAAGGAGGGAGGGAAUACAGAAGAGAGCGGCAAGAAGGAAAAUUACAAGGUGGAAUGAAAAAGGAAUGAAAACUCCCAGCAAAAUGAUGACAUGUCAGUCCUUUACAAGAUGCUCAGAAGACUCUUUACAAUGGCCCUGUUGAUUU